AUGAGACAAAUCAUCCAUUUUCUUCAUCUCCAAUUCCUUUGUCGUAUUGUUGGGUAGACUGUUUCGACUUGAUGUAGUUCUGUGAGGAAAUUCCUUUGGCGAUAUUACUUCUAAUCCAAUUUGUUCACAGUUUAAUUGAUUAGUUUUAGUUUUAGUAUUUCCAUAAGAAUCGCAUUUAAGACUGCUGGUGUUGUCAACUUUGAUGGAGUUAAUUUUCUUUAACUCCUCAGAUUUUGUAGAAUCGGAGACUGCGUUCAUUAGCACGAAAAUGAGAGAAUGCAUAUACUUACCAUUAGUUCGCAUUUCUGAUUGAUCAAUCGAAGAUCGAGUCUCCGUUCUCUCAGAACCAUUUACACUUCUUUUAUCUUCAUUUGCAACUAUGGAAUUUUGCUUUUGCAAUGACCUAACUUAUUAGCUCGCUUAUGCAUAGUUAAUUUCUUACAAUGAUGUGUUCGAAGGUGAGUCGUUGGACAGUUUUUCUGUACGAUAAUUCUCAUAAUAGGUUUGUUUAGUUAUACUUUUGAGUAUAUCCAAAUGAGAAAUAAACAAUACGGUCUUCAAGUUAAGAAAAUCAGAAUGUGCAGGAUCAUCAAUUACGAAUGUUCCCCAUUGGAAUUUCUUGACGAUUCUUUGAUAUCCUUCUUCAUCUUCCUCUGAUACCCCUCCAGAUACAGCGAAUGGAACACUUUCCCAAAGUCGUUUGUUAUCCUCAAUGACUUCGUCUUCAUCCUCCUCAGGAUCCCAAGGAAAGUCAAAUACCUUUAUGUUACAUUGUUUCAAAUCCUUCAUUAUCACAUCUUUGAAGUUCUUUAAUUCUUCUUCAGUAAAAGCGUUGGAGUUUCCAAUGACAGGAAUUACGUUUACGCGCUUUGAAAACCGUUUCAUGGCUUCCAAAUCAAACUCAGACAGGCAAUGUCCACGGGGUGCAAUAAAAUAAAGUAGGGCAUCAACGCGCUAAAAUAUCGUUAGAAAACUUUUUUUUCAUUCCUCAUUCUUAAACCAAUGUGUUCUCUUGGUUUUCUACUUAACAACAUUAAAUCAAGUAAUGGAAGUAACUUGAUUGAAAUAGUUAAGGACGGAAAAACUUUGUUUGCAGAUUUCGUACCGUAUCAGUAAAUUUAGAAUUUCUUUUGAUUUUAGAUUCUUCUAUCAAGGCUUGAUCGAAUUGGCUUUCCAAAUAAUGAGUAACUACCUCGAAACUAAUGCAUUGAAAUUAGCUUUAAUUUAGAAAAAUACCUUUUGGUAUUACCUAGCUGAAUUAUCAAUUUUAUCUCCGAAACCAUUUACUUCAAUGACCGUAAGGUCAACAUGGAACUCAUCUUCUAAAAUAUCUAAUUACAGUUAGCACACGAAAAUUAAAACCGUAAUAACUCACCAGCAUUAAAUUCCCUUAUUUCCAGUAUUCUAUCAAUAUGAGCUUUUAGCGGAUCUAUCUCUGUUUCAGCUUCCAGUAUUUGUUUACUGCACAAGCUAUUGAUACAAGCUUGGUAACUGGUGUAGCUAGAUCCUGCUACCAUUAUGCGAAGCUUUUUUCCCUUUUUUGAUAAGAAUUUUGGACGAUGUCUUGGGCCUUUAUUCAUCUUGAAGUGUUUGCUGUUGGAAGAACUUGGGUUUGUUUGUUUACUGCUUAAUAAAGGCACCGAUACGUUGGCAGUAUAUCCAUUUCGCAAACAAGGAAAAUCCAGAAGAUUUCUUUAUACAAAACUUUUCAAUAGUACUUUUAAAUAUAGUUUAUAUUUUUUCUUCCA
rnacentral:lncRNA from 1 species